rnacentral:rRNA from 1 species
GACGAACGCUGGCGGCGUGCUUAACACAUGCAAGUCGAACGGUAAGGCCCUUCGGGGUACACGAGUGGCGAACGGGUGAGUAACACGUGGGUGAUCUGCCCUGCACUUCGGGAUAAGCCUGGGAAACUGGGUCUAAUACCGGAUAGGACCAUUGCCUGCAUGGGUGGUGGUGGAAGGAUUUUGCGGUGUGGGAUGGGCCCGCGGCCUAUCAGCUUGUUGGUGGGGUGAUGGCCUACCAAGGCGACGACGGGUAGCCGGCCUGAGAGGGUGACCGGCCACACUGGGACUGAGAUACGGCCCAGACUCCUACGGGAGGCAGCAGUGGGGAAUAUUGCACAAUGGGCGCAAGCCUGAUGCAGCGACGCCGCGUGAGGGAUGACGGCCUUCGGGUUGUAAACCUCUUUCAGCACCGACGAAGCGCAAGUGACGGUAGGUGCAGAAGAAGGACCGGCCAACUACGUGCCAGCCGCCGCUGUAA